UACAGAGGUCCCAAGCGUUGUUCGGAUUCACUGGGCGUAAAGGGUGCGUAGGUGGCGGGGUAAGUCAGGUGUGAAAUCUCGGAGCUCAACUCCGAAACUGCACUUGAUACUGCCUUGCUUGAGUACUGGAGAGGAGAUUGGAAUUUACGGUGUAGCAGUGAAAUGCGUAGAUAUCGUAAGGAAGACCAGUGGCGAAGGCGAAUCUCUGGACAGUUACUGACACUGAGGCACGAAGGCCAGGGGAGCAAACGGG
rnacentral:rRNA from 1 species